rnacentral:rRNA from 1 species
UACGUAGGGUGCAAGCGUUUGUCCGGAAUUAUUGGGCGUAAAGAGCUCGUAGGCGGUCUGUCACGUCGGCUGUGAAAACCCGAGGCUCAACCUCGGGCCUGCAGUCGAUACGGGCAGACUAGAGUUCGGUAGGGGAGACUGGAAUUCCUGGUGUAGCGGUGAAAUGCGCAGAUAUCAGGAGGAACACCGGUGGCGAAGGCGGGUCUCUGGGCCGAAACUGACGCUGGAGGAGCGAAAGCGUGGGGAGCGAACAGG